rnacentral:rRNA from 1 species
UUGGAGGGCAAGUCUGGUGCCAGCAGCCGCGGUAAUUCCAGCUCCAAUAGCGUAUAUUAAAGUUGUUGCAGUUAAAAAGCUCGUAGUUGAAUUUCGGGAUCAAUAUGUUGGUCGUGCCUUGGUACGUACUGGCAUUAUUGGUUUCUACCUUCUGAAGAACCUCGAUGUCAUUAAUUUGGUGUCUUGGGGAAUCAGGACUGUUACUUUGAAAAAAUUAGAGUGUUUAAAGCAGGCUCGCGCUUGAAUACAUUAGCAUGGAAUAAUGAAAUAGGACGUUUGAUUCUAUUUUGUUGGUUUCUAGGAUCGACGUAAUGAUUAAUAGGGAUAGUUGGGGGCAUUAGUAUUCAAUUGUCAGAGGUGAAAUUCUUGGAUUUAUUGAAGACUAACUACUGCGAAAGCAUUUGCCAAGGAUGUUUUCAUUAAUCAAGAACGAAAGUUAGGGGAUCGAAGACGAUCAGAUACCGUCGUAGUCUUAACCAUAAACUAUGCCGACUAGGGAUCGGAUGAUGUUAAUUUUUUAAUGGCUCAUUCGGCGCCUUACGGGAAAC